rnacentral:rRNA from 1 species
ACCUGGCGGCGGCCUACACAUGCNAGUCGAGACGGUUGCACCGGAGCAUGUUGCUCCUUGCGUGACCAGAGGGGUAAGGGUUGACUAUGUCUGGGCAUCUUCCUGAGGGACGGGGAUUCCCACUGGACGCUGAUGCCUCUUCCGUCCUACGUCACAAGACCAGGGACGUUGACGCUUUGGCCUCUUACUUUAGCAUGAGUCCGAUUGGCUUUUUCGUGAGGGUCAUGGCUCUGGCCCGCCACGAUCACUAUCUGGUCCUAGACGAAGAUGAUUACCACUGGCACUGAAACUGAGUCCCGACUCCUACUGCUACCGGCGGUGGCGAUUAUUGGUCUUUGGGCAAGAGCCUGAUCCUGCUGUGCCCCUUGUGUGAGUAUGGUCAUCGGAUUGUGGUUGACUUUUACUUUCGACGAGGGGGUGUGCAAUACUGCUCUGCACCUCUUACAUUGCCGUUACACUCAGAAGAGGCUACGUCUGUGUCCGCUGCCGCGGCCAU